rnacentral:rRNA from 1 species
GACGAACGCUGGCGGCGUGCCUAGUACAUGCAAGUCGAACGAACCGCGACUGAGUGCUUGCACUAAGUCAAGGUGAGUGGCGAACGGGUGAGUAACACGUGGGUAACCUACCUCAUAGUGGGGGAUAACAGUCGGAAACGACUGCUAAUACCGCAUAGGACAUGGGAUCACAUGAUUCUGUGAGGAAAGGUGGCGCAAGCUAUCGCUAAGAGAUGGACCCGCGGUGCAUUAGCUAGUUGGUAGGGUAACGGCCUACCAAGGCGAUGAUGCAUAGCCGACCUGAGAGGGUGAUCGGCCACAUUGGGACUGAGACACGGCCCAAACUCCUACGGGAGGCAGCAGUAGGGAAUCUUCCGCAAUGGACGCAAGUCUGACGGAGCAACGCCGCGUGAGUGAAGAAGGUCUUCGGAUCGUAAAGCUCUGUUGUUAGAGAAGAACAGCGCAUAGAGUAACUGUUAUGCGUGUGACGGAU